AUUGAACGCUGGCGGCGUGCCUAACACAUGCAAGUCGAGCGGUAACAGGUGUAGCAAUACAUGCUGACGAGCGGCGAACGGGUGAGUAAUGCUUCGGAAUCUACCUUAUGGUGGGGAAUAACUAGCCGAAAGGUUAGCUAAUACCGCAUACGUCCUACGGGAGAAAGCAGGGGAUCGCAAGACCUUGCGCCAAAAGAUGAGCCGAAGUCGGAUUAGCUAGUUGGAAGGGUAACGGCCUACCAAGGCGACGAUCCGUAGCUGGUCUGAGAGGACGACCAGCAACACUGGGACUGAGACACGGCCCAGACUCCUACGGGAGGCAGCAGUGGGGAAUAUUGGACAAUGGGGGAAACCCUGAUCCAGCGACGCCGCGUGUGUGAAGAAGGCCUGCGGGUUGUAAAGCACUUUUAGUGGGGAUGAAAUGUGCAGGGUUAAUACCUCUGCAUUUUGACCUAACCCACAGAAAAAGCACCGGCUAACUCUGUGCCAGCCGCCGCCGUAA
rnacentral:rRNA from 1 species